rnacentral:rRNA from 1 species
UUGAUCCUGGCUCAGAAUCAACGCUGGCGGCGUGCCUAACACAUGCAAGUCGAACGCGAAAGGGGAGCAAUCCCUGAGUAGAGUGGCAAACGGGUGAGUUACACGUGGGUGACCUGCCUUCGAGUGGGGGAUAACGUCCCGAAAGGGACUCUAAUACCGCAUGACAUCCUGCCCUUGGAAGGGUGGAGAUCAAAGCUGGUGAUCGCAAGACCUGGCGCUUGAAGAGGGGCCCGCGCCUGAUUAGCUAGUUGGUAGGGUAAUGGCCUACCAAGGCAACGAUCAGUAUCCGGCCUGAGAGGUCGGACGGACACACUGGGACUGAGACACGGCCCAGACUCCUACGGGAGGCUGCAGUGGGGAAUUGUUCGCAAUGGGCGCAAGCCUGACGACGCAACGCCGUGUGGAGGACGAAGAUCUUCGGGUCGUAAACUCCUGUCGAGUGGGAAGAAUGGAUCAGGGCUGAAUAAUCCCUGGUAUUGACGGUACCACUAAAGGAAGCUCCGGCUAACUCCGUGCCAGCAGCCGCGGUAAUAAGGU